CCCAUCGGGGGACUACAUAUUAAAUGGAUUUUUUGAACAGGGAGUCGGAAAUGGGGCUUGCUCCGUCCGCUCCACGCAUCGACCCGGUAUUGCAGUACCUCCGGGAACGGUGCAACACUU
rnacentral:snRNA from 8 species